rnacentral:sRNA from 12 species
UGACCGCCCGGUUUCUGCGCGAAAACGGUGCUAAGGCCAUACGGACAGCCGGGUCAAAUGCCGA